UAAGAUAUUCUUGGCAUUGUCACUACUGUGGACAGAAUGUGGAGGAAUGCCAGUAUUCUCUCUGAUGAAACCUCCAGGGAGUCUAAUGUAGACAUGGAGACCUGAUAAGGUUUUAGAUAAUUUUGCAAGUAUCUGUUCAAUGUUAAGCCAUGAUGCAUUCUGAAUGAGUGAUUGAUGCCCAAGACCACUUCGAAUGUUUCUAUUUUAUAAAUGAAGCCUGUCUUCUUAACACAACUAGAUGUAGUAAUACACUGGUUAUGAAAUUGUAUUUUGUAAGAAAUAAUGAAAAAAAAAAAGCCAUACGCAUUCCAAGGGGGAAAUUCCCAAGAAACUAGAUGGAGCAAUUUAAAUGUAAAUUCUUCCCAAAGUGACACAUUUUGAAACCCUUAAAUUGCCUCAGUUGAUGCUACAUGAACUUCAGCAGUGAUGUACAUUGACAAGGAAGGGAAUAUUUCCUACUUUACUUUCUGUGCUUUUUUACAGAAUUACAGAAACAGGAACUGUGCUAAAGGAGUACCACACAUGGCUGUCCCUUCCUACAUCUUCCUCACAACCUCUUGCUCUAAUGUCACUUUAACAGAACACCAUAUAACUAUGAUGGAAAAAUGGCAAAGCUUGUCUUUGAAAAUCCAAAAUAUCACCAAAUACAACUAAGUGUUGUUUUAUACAACUGGCAAAAUAAACUCUAUUAUAAAACAUAUGUUUGUUUUGUCAACAAAUACUCUAAAUUCAGAAAGAAAAUUUUAACAUCUCCCCCAUUUGUUAUCCUUUAUAGUGGCAAUGCUUUAUAGCAUUCCCCUUAUGCUAUCAAAAUUGGAGUGAAUUAAGGCCUGUUCACACACAGUUCUCUCAUGUAGGAGAGGGGCUUUGUAUCUUGACUUUGACAUCUAGUAGCUCCAGAAUCUUUAGUCCCUCUAAAGUGGAAGAUUCUGCCUAGUUGUGGACAAGUAAAACUUUUAUCCUACAUUUUUACAACAUAUUUGUUAAAAUAAUAAUUUUCUUGUAUUGGGUAAUGCAGUUUCCCUUUGGAAAGAGACCAUGAGAAUAGUUCCCUAACUAUUUCAAUCCUGAAAAAAUUGCCAUUGCCAUCCUGUGGUCUUCCCUAUUUUUUCUGUCUUUACUUCUUUAACAUAAAAGUAAGGUUAGUUAAAAAGGAAGCUAGAGUUGAGAGAAAAGAAUUAACCAUCAUUGGGUAAGUGAUUGGCAAGGACCAUCUCCCACCAUUAUUAGUGGUUGCUUUCUCAAAGCAAUGAACUGAGGCAAUUAUGUAAUUAAUUUUACAAUUCAAGCAGAAACACAUGUUUAUCUGAAGUGCCUAUGUACAAACAUCUUCAUAUGAUAAAUGAAAUAUCUUGUAAUAUUUUAAUGCAUGUAUUUAAUGUAAUGAUUUUAACUGUACUUGCUUGAGAACCUUAUGCCACAUUUUUUAAUAUGUAUACAAAGGCAUUUAGAAGGUUUGGCCCUGCCUACCCAGCACUGCCUCUUCUCCAUUAUCUUCAGAUAUCAGAAGAACAAAUGGGUUCAGAUAACCCAUACUGCAAGAGAGUCAAAACUCAUGUCAAAGAGUGUUUCAUACUGAAUCAAAGCUUAUGCAGUUCAUAGUAUGGAGUUGAAUUUGGUAGAUUAUCAUCUUAGAUCAAAUCUCUACAUUGUUUUAGUACAACAUUUCAAAAAGUAUUGAGAACAGAAAAUCACCAUUAAGGAUUUUGUAAAGACUAUGUACAUAGGUAAAGAAAUUAUAUAUGAAAUCUAUUUUUCUUCCUUCUAAAUUUAUUGUAUUUGUUCAGUAAAAUACAGUUAACCUUUGGCUAGUAUAUCCUAUUAGGUCAUUUAAAAGCCUGUAUAAAGUGUUUAAAUUAGAUUUAAAACAUACAUUCAUGAAUCCUGAAGAUGAUGCUUCAUGUUUUGAUUUUACCUAGCUCUGAUCUCUUACAACAUGUAUCGCAACUCUGACAUGUUUGUCUCAAGACAUUUUCAGAUGCGUAACAUGUUAACUUUUUGCAGAACUCCUUAGUAGAUACAAUCCUGAACAAGGUAGUGACAAGUGGUGUGUGAAUUGGUAGUACAUUCAAACUGAUACAAAGACAUCUAGGCAUCAAGUACCACUCAAAGUAGUUCAUGUAGAAAUAUGCCCAGGAGACAGCAAGUCAUAGAUAACCCAUUUAACCCCCUCUCCCCCACAAAAUAAAGCCUAUGCCACGAGCCUGUGUCCAGGCUGAAUAUCUGGGUAUAUUACUCCUGACCUGAGAGACAAAAGGGAGUCUGUCGGCCAAGAUCUAGGUCAAUGAUCUGGCUUUUAAUCAUAAAACCACCACUAUACAAAUCAGAUGCAGUACUGGAGCAAGAUGAAUGGGGAAAUGUGGACAUAGGCAUGUGUUCAGAGAGUGACUAAAGUCACCUGGAUUUUCAGGCUCUCAAUAUUCUUGUCCAGUGUACACUGUCCUCCCUUCGAGAAGGCAGAACUAUAGAUGACCUUUCCAGAGAAUUAGUUGAAAGUAGCCCCCAAGUCUGAUGCUGUUUUGAGCUUGGAACAGGAUUUUAAUGCCAGACAAGAUCCUAUGUUGAAUAUACUUGACAAAAAUGUUCCCAGAAUAUCCGGGCAAAUAGCACAAAGUCUGAGGAAUGACUGUAUAUGAUGCCAGAAGUCAGAAAGAAAGAUGCUGAGCAAAAUAUAACAGGGGUAACUGUUACCUGGAAACAGCAACAGUGUUGGUUUGAAGUGUGAAACUUGAGGAAGGAGUCUUCAGAAUAUUUAUUCUCAGAUUUGAUUGCAUCUAGUUUAAUGAUUUCUAAUCAAUAUUAAUCCUGUAUCCUGAUAAUACAUCCUUCUGAAACUCAUUAAAGUAAAAGAAAGGAAAGUCAAAUUAAUGAGGAACCCCAAAGAUUUUUCACAGUGAAAUCAUUAAAACCCCAAAUGAGGGACUGGAAAGAUGGUUCAGCAGAUAGGAACACUGACAACUUAAUCAUGAAGACUUGCAUUCAGUUCCAGCACCUGUCUGGGAGUACAUAAAUGCUUUCACUAAGGGAUUCAAUUCCCCAUGCCUAGUCUUCAAAUAUAUCACAUACACACAUUCACAUAUUAACAAACCUCAAACAAAAUAUAUUAAAUACAAAGAUGAUCUGUUAUAUCUGUAAAAGAGCUGUAAGCUGUAGCCGAAAUUCAUGACAGCUACGGACUAGACAUGGCUUACUUUUGUUCCCCUUAGUUGACUAUAUAGCAACCGAUUUAACAAGGAAGAACCCAGAUUUAAUGAGACAUCUUCAGAAUUUUCAGAUUAAUGAUGAUGAUGAUAAUAAUAAUAAUAAUAAAUGUUGUGUUGUUUCUUUCUUCUCAGAGGGAUCCUGUAAUAUCACCAAGGCCUUCUUUAUACCAGGUGCUGUAAAGAACAGUGUUUCUGUUUGAGAGCACAAUGUGAUGUAAGAUUUUGAGGUAGCCUAACACAUAAAAGAAGCCACAGCUAGAUCACCAGCAGCCUUUACUAGGAGCCAUUCAUCUGCAAAACACCUAAAAAGCAGCAUACAUAAUCUUCAAUAGCUAUAGUCCAUCUAAAAAAUGGUAUAUAUGUGUAAGCUUGAAAACAUCUAAAAAAGUGAAAACUAAGCACAGAUAUACUAUCAGGACAACUAGGCUUCAAGUUGUGAAACCAAGUACAAUGCACUAAUCUCAUAAUUUCCUAUCCUGAAUGUUUGUACAAUUCAUUAAGAAAACAACAGGUGCACUGAUUUUGGAAUGAAGCUAUAUAUCAGACUCUAAACCUCAACUUCUUAAAUAAACACAUAGCAUGUCACCAUUUUGUUUGCUAGAAAGAUAAGCUAUGCUUUCAGACUCAGAAAAACAAAAUAUUUGUUAUAAUUUUAUCCGUUGUGAAUCGGGAUCUUGCCUGAUUAAAAAAUAAAUUAUUUGCAGAAUAAAUUGGUAGAUGUAGUCACUAAUGUUCUCCAGAGACUCUCUGUGGUAUGUGUAAUUAAUUACUGAAAUAAUUAAGCUCUCCUUGAAGAUUACACAUUGCCAUCUCAUUGGUUUAACAUGUUACCAAAAUGUGGCUUGGCAACACAUUUUUGUAAUAGAAAAGAAUUGCUUUAAACUGCCAAUACAUAUGCUGAGUAGAAGGGAAAUGGUUUUUACAUAUUCCAAUAAAUUAUUUUCCAAUGUGUUAAUCUGAAAGACUGGGAAUUUAACUUAGGCAUGGGGGAACAAGUAUUUGCUGAGCUAUGCUUUCAAACUCAGAACUCUUGCAUGAGUUUAAAUUUCUAACACCAACAAAAAAAAAGGCUCAUUUUUUUUGAAUGGUAAACCAUUCUGAAAUCUAAAAGAGCAUUGAGAGUUCCAAGUACCCUAUCACGUAUGAAUACCCUUUAGUUGAACAGAAUUGUUUUUUCAGAUUUUAAAUUUGAAAUGAUAUAAAUGUGAAGAAUUGAAAACCAUAAUGUAGAAUGUUUUAAUGUAGACUGUUUCUGGUCAUCACCAUGUUCACUCAGAAAUAUAUUUUCUUUUCUUUCUGGGUACCCUUUAGAAAUGGUACUAGUCAUUCCCUUUCUGAAGAAGUGGUUUUUAAGACCCACCUAUUUAACAUAAAUGUAUCUGUUAAUCACCUAGAGGUUUCAUUACAUAAUGCCUUUACAUUAUCCUCCAAAGAUGUGCACUAAAAGGGCCUUCAGCAUAGAGGCUGUCAAGAACCUAAAACAUACUCCCCCCCAAUCCCCUACACCCCCACUCCCAAAUUAUACUCAGCAAAGCCAAAGAAAUGCAUGACUUCUCUAAUUUGUUAUUUCAAGGAUUUAGUCAAGAAUUAGAACACAUGCUCCUGAUUGAUUUCCUUCACCGAAAGAAAGCAUUAAUGACUGUGCACAGAGCCUUAACAGUAUUUUGCUCCUUUCAUGGCCUAAGCCAAUAAGCACUGACAUAGCUUUUCUCAGAGUAAAACACAUUUUAUUUUCCAGGGGCUGAUUAAUUUGCACCACUUCAGUCACAAAAAGACUACACAGGUGCCUGUCCUAUGCCAUAUACCAUGUGUUCUAGUUUUGUAAGCUCAAGAGAUUAAUAUGCAAUCAUCAAUAUGAAUGAUUGUGCUGUAUUAAAGUUGAAAUUGGUCUUUUAUUCUAAAUAAAGUGUAGACUUGGUAUCUGUACCGAACUUCACUGAAGAAAUUAAGUUAGAUUCCUUAUUCUAAUGGACUACAUAUAUUUUUCAAUCAAAAUAUAUGAUUAUUUACUUAUCUAUAUUCUUCAGUAAUUAUAACUUUAUAGAUCCUUCAGGGGACCUAAAUUCAAUAUGUGGCCAUGCAGAUGGUUAAUACCUGGGUUUCACCUUUGUGAUUUCUUACUUUUGUAAUAAUUUAUUUUUAAGUAUACAAAGUGGGAUUAUAUUAAUAAUAAUGUUUUUAUUUGGUUUUUACAAAAAUGUGUGAUUGGACAUUACUCUGGAACUUAGAACAAUAUAUGACUAAUAAGGAUGAUUCAAACAAAAUAUUUCACUAUACCAUUAUGGCUUCUCUGCAGGAAGCAAUACACCCAAAUGGUUAAGUGUAGCUAACAUAAUUAUAUUCCAAGGAUGUUACAGAUAAUUCUACUCAGUAGCAAAGCCCAACUCUAUUAGGUGAUUGAGUGUGUACACUGCAAACAAAAGGGGCUAGUGGUGAACAUAUUCCACAUGUUUUUACUUGCUAUUUUGGAAAAAAAAAAUACAUCAGAUGAACAACUUCCUGGGGCAUUCUAAUGUUUUUGUUUGUUUUUAGAGACACUGAGAAAAUUGCAUGACAUUUUGAUAAUACUUUUCUAUAGGGGCUUCCAAUGUUCAAUAUACAGGAAUUUAAUAUUUUUAGCUUUGUUUGCCGUGUUUGUAAUAAAAUAUUUAAAUUGAACAUUUUUAUAAAAAUUAUUUUUUCAGUGCUAUAAUAUCAAAAAUGUAAUUGUAGAAUUAUAAAUAAAAUAGAUCGGGAUAAAAUUUAUAGAUUCAUUGAACAAAACAUAAAGGGUAACUUUACCAAAUAAAUGUACUUUAAUUAAAAACAAAGCACUUAUCCAAGAUAUAUGUCCAUUAUUAAAUUGCACUGAACUAUCUUAGUGUCACCUUUUGUUCAAGAAAGCUUUAUUAUUGUCUGUGAUUGAUGAAUCUUAUUGCAUAUAGAUUUCUAAAGUCAUUUCUGUCCUUAAUUUUUAAUGACAUAAAUUUUAUAGGUAUUUGUCUGCAUUUUUCAAUGACUAUAUAUUGUCAAAAUUUAUUGUUUUUGCAUUUUCCCCAAGUUUGACUGUAACACAGUGUAUAACCAUUUUAUGUUACUUCAAAUGAUUCAAUAUGAAGGUUUUGGUGUGACUAAGAGUGAUAAAAGUGGAUCGAGUUCCCAAAUCCUUUAAGAAUGAGUGAUUAUUUUAUGCUCUACUUGCUUAAAUAUUUGUAUAUAAUGGAAAACAUAGUAAUCUGAAUGAAAAUACCUUCAAAUGACAUGUUUUGAAUCAUAAAUGGAUAUUUUUAAAGCAUAAAUUUCAAGUAUAUUAAUUAAAGUUGAAAA
rnacentral:lncRNA from 1 species